rnacentral:rRNA from 1 species
ACUUUCGAUGGUAGGAUAGAGGCCUACCACGGUUUUAACGGGUAACGGGGAAUUAGGGUUCGAUUCCGGAGAGGGAGCCUGAGAAACGGCUACCACAUCCAAGGAAGGCAGCAGGCGCGCAAAUUACCCAAUCCCGACACGGGGAGGUAGUGACAAUAAAUAACAAUACGGGGCUCAUUUGGGUCUCGUAAUUGGAAUGAGUACAAUUUAAAUCCCUUAACGAGGAACAAUUGGAGGGCAAGUCUGGUGCCAGCAGCCGCGGUAAUUCCAGCUCCAAUAGCGUAUAUUAAAGUUGUUGCAGUUAAAAAGCUCGUAGUUGAACUUCGGGGUUUACCCAUUGGUCAGGCUUAAUUGUCUGCACUGGUGAGAUAAAUCUCUACCUUCUGAGGAACUUUCAUGCCAUUUAUUUGGUGUGAUGGGAAAUCAGGACUGUUACUUUGAAAAAAUUAGAGUGUUUAAAGCAGGCUAACGUCUGAAUACAUUAGCAUGGAAUAAUGAAAUAGGACGGACUGAUUCUAUUUUGUUGGUUUCUAGGAUCACCGUAAUGAUUAAUAGGGAUAGUUGGGGGCAUUAGUAUUCAAUUGUCAGAGGUGAAAUUCUUGGAUUUAUUGAAGACUAACUACUGCGAAAGCAUUUGCCAAGGAUGUUUUCAUUAAUCAAGAACGAAAGUUAGGGGAUCGAAGACGAUCAGAUACCGUCGUAGUCUUAACCAUAAACUAUGCCGACUAGGAAUCAGACGAUGUUAAUUUUUUAAUGACUCGUUUGGCACCUUACGGGAAACCAAAGUGUUUGGGUUC